GACGAACGCUGGCGGCGUGCUUAACACAUGCAAGUCGAACGGAAAGGCCCUGCUUUUGUGGGGUGCUCGAGUGGCGAACGGGUGAGUAACACGUGAGUAACCUGCCCUUGACUUUGGGAUAACUUCAGGAAACUGGGGCUAAUACCGGAUAGGAGCUCCUGCUCCAUGGUGGGGGUUGGAAAGUUUCGGCGGUUGGGGAUGGACUCGCGGCUUAUCAGCUUGUUGGUGGGGUAGUGGCUUACCAAGGCUUUGACGGGUAGCCGGCCUGAGAGGGUGACCGGGCUCAUGGGGACUAAGGUACGGCCCAGACUCCUACGGGAGGCAGAAGUGGGGAAUAUUGCACAGUGGGCCGGAGCCUGAUGCGGCGGCGCCGCGUGCGUGAUGACGGCCUUCGGGUUGUAAACCGCUUUCGCCUGUGACGAAGCGUGAGUGACGGUAAUGGGUAAAGAAGCACCGGCUAACUACGUG
rnacentral:rRNA from 1 species